rfam:Archaeon 13_2_20CM_2_52_21 13_2_20cm_2_scaffold_53, whole genome shotgun sequence.
GCCCCGGUAGCUCAGUGGUGGAGCGACAGCCUUGUACCCCUAGCGAGAAAGCUGUAGGUCCCGGGUUCAAUCCCCGGCCGGGGCU